rnacentral:rRNA from 1 species
ACUCAAAUGAAUUGACGGGGGCCCGCACAAGCGGUGGAGCAUGUGGUUUAAUUCGACGCAACGCGAAGAACCUUACCUGGGCUCGAACGGCUGCAGACCGGUGGUAGAAAUACCGCCUUUCCCGCAAGGGACUGUAGUCGAGGUGCUGCAUGGCUGUCGUCAGCUCGUGUCGUGAGAUGUUGGGUUAAGUCCCGCAACGAGCGCAACCCUUGUCCUGUGUUGCCACUCCGUAAGGAAGCACUCUCAGGAGACCGCCAGCGAUAAGCUGGAGGAAGGUGGGGAUGACGUCAAGUCAUCAUGGCCUUUAUGUCCAGGGCUACACACGUGCUACAAUGGGCGGUACAAAGCGCUGCGAACCCGUGAGGGGAAGCUAAUCGCAAAAAACCGUUCUCAGUUCGGAUUGCAGGCUGCAACUCGCCUGCAUGAAGCUGGAAUCGCUAGUAAUGGCAUAUCAGAACGAUGCCGUGAAUACGUUCCCGGGCCUUGUACACACCGCCCGU